ensembl:lncRNA
AGACAACCUCUCCUGUCUCCACAGCACAGGCGAGCCUGGGGUGUGCUGAAUUCAUGUGGCUCAGUACCUGUGCCAGGUUACAGCCUACUGAUGAAGCUCUGACACGGUAGCUCUUGCCUUCAGGGGCUCCAGGCCAUCAGCGCACUUUUUGGGAUGCCUGCCACUGAAGCUGUGCUUCCAUUCUGGGACAGUCACCUUUUGUCACAGGGCCUCGGCAUUAGGCCUUGACGUUCCCACAGAGAGCGACUGUUGAGGCCACCAUUUUGGUGGUGCUUCUGGCUCCACCAGUACUGCCACACUGAGGAGCCCAAGAAGAGGGGCUUUGCCAGGAGUGCUUCGGAAUGUUCGUGAAGGGCCAGAUGCCAUUCCUCUAGAAAACUGCAAACCUGGAUCAUUUCACAGAGUUGCUUCAUAGCGCAGCCCCAGUUCAGGGCAACAUACAUGCGACCAAUGUGUGCUAGUCUCAAACACCUAGGGUUGGUCAUUUAAUAUCUACAUGGGUUUGUUUCCUGCCUUGGAAGAGUGUAAGCAGGCUAAUGCUGUGGGGGCAAAGAGAUAUGCCACUGAAAUGCAUUGAGGCCUGUCCUUAAGCUGACUUUGCACCAGUGCCUUUAGAUUCGUUGUCUGAGGGUAGUUUUAAUGUGGUGAUUGAAGUAUUAUUAGCAACUAAAUGAUUGUUAGAAACCGCUCUAGCUAAACCAGCUGACUUUACAACUCUGCUGCCCUUAAAACUGAUUUCAGGAAAGCUUUUUUUUCUAGCAUCUAAUUUGUUUUAGAUAUGAAUAAUUUACAGGCUUCUUUUAUGAUACGCCACAAAGGAUCAAUACAGAUAUAAUACAUACUCACUACUGUAUAUGCCAGCUAUUGCAAAAUUCCAUGCUGUUCUUUUCACAGAACAAAUUUCAAAUAUAUGCACCAAUUCAAUACAAAUUAUUUUCUUUAAAUCAUACAAGCUAUCCAUUAAUUCAAUAGCUAAUACUGUUUCUUAGCUUUCUUUUAUCUUCCUUCUAAUUACAAAGUCAGACAUCCCUAUUACUUUCCAGUGCUCAGCAUAGGUAACAAUAAUAGCCAUUCUUUUCUCAGGGUUCAUUUCUAACUGCUGGAAGUUGCUGCUGGGGAAAAAUAAGGCAAACUGAAAUAAGGACCAAAGCUGAUAGUUAGAACCUGUGUUUCCGAAAUGGGGGUAGUAGCAUUGUGUUUGAUACAUAUUUUAUCAUAUUCAUGCUUUUAGGUACUUAUUAUGCACAGACAUUAGGAAAUACUGUCAUUUAGAUGGCCUACACUCAUUUGGCUCUGAGGUUUCUGUCAGAUGAAGGCAUAGGAAUGCAUUUGCCCAAGAACAUCUAAGUUCUGCAAUAUGCACAGUUUGGUCUCCAUACUGUUACAGCUAGGCUUCAGAAAUCAAUACUGAUAUGACUGAUGAUAGUUUGCUCUGUCCAGAAUGACUUGGAUCUGACUAGAAUGUUCUACAUUUAUGAACUGAGUUAUACAUGGGGGCAAUUUACAUAACGGGAUUGAAGGGAACCUAGAGCAUAGCGGUGCUUCAGUUUAUAACCUGAAAUUCAAUUGGCAUUAGUAUCUAUCUGGAAUUUAGUCGGUUAAACACAAAAAGUGGACAGGAACCAGUGAAAGUGGUUAGUUGCUAUAAAGAGCAACAUCUUCUGAAAGUACAUGUAAGCCACGAAUGCUGGGUACAUUACACAUUUUUUCCUCAAAUACGUAUAAGCAGAGUUUGCCACCCACCGACACAAGAUACAGUCACAGCCAAGAUUUGGCUGGUUCUAAAAAUAGCAUAAAAUAUACGUAUUUUAAGCUUCCUUUAGUUUGGAGAAAAUAAAUAUUUAAAAGUUACAUUUAUUUAAUUUAUAAUCAAAACAAAAUUUUGCCAAACUUCCAAGUCUGACAGGUUUUACUAGUCCUUUAUUUACAAACUUGUUUUCCGUGAUGAAUCAACAUAGCAUUUAUCCUCAGAGUAAUUGGUUUGGAUAAUGUCCAAUUCGUGGCUAUCUGGGAUAUAAUACAAAGCCUUCGUAGGUCUGACCGCUGUUGUAAUAUGCAUCUACGCUUUCAUUUGACCCUGGCAGCUCUCAAUGUUUUAAACCAUAUUUCUCUACUUCCUCUGCUCCUCAGAGAUUUUCUAGUGCGUUUUAUGUUCUGUAUUAAAACCAAUGUUAGCCACCUACCCUUCUGGGGGUGUAUACUUCUGUAUAAUAUUGGAAUGACUCACACCCUCCAGUACAAGCAAACAUAGAUAGCCACUGUUAUGGCCUAUUGAUGUGUUUAACUUGUAAUUUUUCCUUUAAAAUUCAGAAUUAUCCUUCAGUUUAACCUCUUCUAAUUCCCACUGUAUAUAGCAGAAGGAAAAUUCAAAAUGAAACAACCUCACUUCUGU